UCGACCAACAAGGAUUCCUCAACGUGUUUCUGGAGCGGAGGCGAGCUGGUAUGGGAGCCGGGAAUCUGGAUGAUGACCAUCACUCUACCAACAAGGAUUGGCCAGACUCGCGCUGUUUGUUCCAGACCAGGACUCUGGCUGAGGAGAGCUGAUGGAGGAGCCAAUACUCUGGAGGACGACAUCACUCUACCAACCAGGAUCCUCGUAAGUUUGCAUAAAAUAAACAGAGUGGACUUGUUGUUACGCAGGAUUAUUUCGUCCAGUACAAGUUACGGCAUACUACUGUGGUUGUUUAACAGACAAACUACAGCUGCUAUUUUGUUACGCGCCAUUAGAGCCCAACUACUGUGUUUGUGACCUGAUAUUAGAGACAAACUACUCCUGUGUUUGUUACCUUGCGUUAGAGCCCAAAUACUGCUGUGUUUGUUACCUUACAUCAUAGACAAACUACUCCUGUGUUUGUGACCUGAUAUUAGAGACAAACUACUCCUGUGUUUGUUACCUUGCAUUAGAGCCCAAAUACUGCUGUUUGUUACCUUACAUCAUAGACAAACUACUACUGUGUUUGUUACCUUUCAUUAGAGACAAAUUGCGUUUGUAACCAGACCAGGAAUCUGGAGGACUGAUGGAGAUGCCGUACAUCUGGAAGGCAAAUCCUGAGGAGAACCAGGACUCUAUCUAUCUGGACAUAGUGGACUAGGUAGGGGGUUGGGGGUUAAACUCUCAAACCAAUGGUGACGGGUUCAAGUCCUCAGAAUACAGUGAUGUGUCCUUGAGCAAGGCGCCCUAAAGCCUGCCUGCUCCUUGAUGACUUAUCUUUGGUUCAGAUAAUGUUGCAUCUUUUGAAUAUUGAACCUAAUCAAUGUCCUUGUUUGGUCCGGGCAGACACACCUGAGCUGAACCUCACCUGAUCCUGUUUGGUCGGGGGUAUACACACCUGAGCAGAACCGCCCUGAUCCUGACAUCCUGCUGGUCCCGUCUCCUCAGUUCAUCUGAGCCUCGUCCUCCAGAAGACCUGCUGAGCUCAGCAGUCUGAGGCUGAUGGAUCAAUGAACUCCAGUGGGAGUAAUCUUCUUGACCCCACAUGUAGCCGUGUGCUUCCAGAGCGCCUUUCCCUCACGUCUGUCACUAACCUCACUACUUCACUACUCUCUACUGCUUCCUCUUUUUUUCCUUCUCUGUGCUUCAAGCCUUUACACUGAAGGCGUGUCUUCCUGCCCUCAGAGGGUUCAGCGUUAGGGUUGAGAGUCAGGGUUUAGUGUCAGGGACAGAACUGGUCAGGGAGGACUGCUUUUACACAAACCUCUUCACUUGCUUUCGGAAUGGUGGUGACAUUUUGAUAAGAUUAAUUUGGGAAAUUUUUUUCCUCUGCUUUCCUUUACAAAAUUGUGUUCAACUUCUGUCAAGUGUUUUUGUUUAUAUAUUAAAAUCCCA
rnacentral:lncRNA from 1 species